GAACGCACCUUGCGCCCUUUGGCCAUUCCGAAGGGCAUGCCUGUUUGAGUAUCAUGAACACCUCAACUCCUCAUGGUCUUCUAUGAUGAGCUUGGACUUUGGGGGUUUGCUGGCCCAUUUGGUCAGCUCCUCUCAAAUGAAUCAGCCUACCAGUGUUUGGUGGCACCACAGGUGUGAUAACAAUCUACGCUUGGGGUUUUCCACCGGGCAACCUUCAGUGAUGGGGGUUCACUGGGGCUCACAAAUGUCUUUCUUCAGUGAGGACAGCUCUUUGAAUGUUUGAUCUCAAAUCAGGUAGGACUACCCGCUGAACUUA
rnacentral:misc_RNA from 1 species